AUCUUUUUAGAGACAUCCAAUAAAAUUGGAAUAAUAUAGAGAAGAUUAGCAUGACCCCUAUACAAGAAUGACACACAUAAAUAAAGAAAUGGUCCAAAUUUUU